UACAGAGGGGGCAAGCGUUGUUCGGAAUUACUGGGCGUAAAGGGCGCGUAGGCGGCCCGCUAAGUCGAACGUGAAAUCCCCGGGCUCAACCCGGGAACUGCGUCCGAUACUGGUGGGCUUGAAUCCGGGAGAGGGAUGCGGAAUUCCAGGUGUAGCGGUGAAAUGCGUAGAUAUCAGGAGGAACACCAAUGGCGAAGGCAGCUCGCUGGAACGGUACUGACGCUGAGGCGCGAAAGCGUGGGGAGCAAACAGG
rnacentral:rRNA from 1 species